rnacentral:piRNA from 1 species
UGCAGUAUGAUGUAGCUAGGAUAUA